CGCGGGACUAGUCAAGUGUCGGC
rnacentral:miRNA from 1 species